rnacentral:rRNA from 1 species
AUUGAACGCUGGCGGAAUGCUUUACACAUGCAAGUCGAGCGGCAGCACGGGGGCAACCCUGGUGGCGAGCGGCGAACGGGUGAGUAAUACAUCGGAACAUGCCCAGUCGUGGGGGAUAACACUUCGAAAGAAGUGCUAAUACCGCAUACGUCCUGAGGGGGAAAGCGGGGGAUCGCAAGACCUCGCGCGAUUGGAGUGGCCGAUGUCAGAUUAGCUAGUUGGUGGGGUAAAGGCCUACCAAGGCAACGAUCUGUAGCUGGUCUGAGAGGAUGAUCAGCCACACUGGAACUGAGACACGGCCCAGACUCCUACGGGAGGCAGCAGUGGGGAAUUUUCGACAAUGGGGGCAACCCUGAUCCAGCCAUUCCGCGUGAGUGAAGAAGGCCUUCGGGUUGUAAAGCUCUUUCGGCAGGGAAGAAACAGUGAGCUCUAACAUAGCUUGCUAAUGACGGUACCUGAAGAAAAAGCAACGGCUAACUACGUG